rnacentral:rRNA from 1 species
CAGCAGCCACGGUAAUACAGAGGAUGCAAGCGUUAUCCGGAAUGAUUGGGCGUAAAGCGUCUGUAGGUGGCUUUUCAAGUCCGCCGUCAAAUCCCAGGGCUCAACCCUGGACAGGCGGUGGAAACUACCAAGCUGGAGUACGGUAGGGGCAGAGGGAAUUUCCAGUGGAGCGGUGAAAUGCGUUGAGAUCGAAAAGAACACCAACAGCGAAAGCACUCUGCUGGGACGACACUGACACUAAGAGACGAAAGCUAGGGGAGCAAAUGGGAUUAGAUACCCGCGUAGUCCCUGUCUCUUAUAC